rnacentral:rRNA from 1 species
UACGUAGGGGGCUAGCGUUGUCCGGAAUCAUUGGGCGUAAAGAGCGUGUAGGCGGUCCGGUAAGUCCGCUGUGAAAGUCGGGGGCUCAACCCUCGAAUGCCGGUGGAUACUGUCGGGCUAGAGUGCGGAAGAGGCUAGUGGAAUUCCUGGUGUAGCGGUGAAAUGCGCAGAUAUCAGGAGGAACACCUAUUGCGAAGGCAGCUCGCUGGGACGUAACUGACGCUGAGACGCGAAAGCGUGGGGAGCGAACAGG